rnacentral:rRNA from 1 species
GGGUCAGUAGGUUGGUCGUGCCACCGGUACGUACUGGUCUCACUGAUUCCUCCUUCCUGAAGAACCGUAAUGCCAUUAAUUUGGUGUUGCGGGGAAACAGGACUGUUACUUUGAAAAAAUUAGAGUGUUUAACGCAAGCUAACGCUUGAAUACAUUAGCAUGGAAUAAUGAAAUAGGGCGAUCGAUCCUAUUUUGUUGGUUUCUAGGAUUGACGUA